rnacentral:rRNA from 1 species
AGGAAAAGAAACUAACAAGGAUUCCCCCAGUAACGGCGAGUGAAGCGGGAAGAGCUCACGUUGUGAAUCUGGCCCUCGGGCCCGAACUGUACCCUGGAGAGGCGAGGCCAGCCGCUGUCCGCGGCCAAGUCUGAUUGGAAAUAAGCAUCAAGGAGGGUGACAAUCCCGUCCAUGCCGCGGUAUCAACCAGCGCGCGUCCGGCCCGCUUUCGACGAGUCGAGUUGCUUGGGAUUGCAGCUCAAAGUGGGUGGUAAACUCCAUCCAAAGCUAAACACGGGGGGGAGACCGAUAGCGAACAAGUACCGUGAGGGAAAGAUGCAAAGAACUUUGAAAAGAGAGUUAAAGAGUGCCUGAAAUUGCUGGAAGGGAAGCGAAGGAAAGAAGUGUGCGGUAGCCCGGGCGCCAAUCCCCACCUGCCUCCCCUCGCGGGGGGGCGUGGGGGUAGGCCGCUCGGCCGCGGUCAGGGGAAGCGCUGAGCUCGUGGGAAGAGCCGCGGGGGAUCGGUAGGCGGCCCGCUUCGGCGGGGCGCUGUCGGGCCCCCGCGGUGUUGUUGUUGUCACGAAGGACGGCCCCCGUCUGGCGGUUGCGGCUUUUCUUCAC